rnacentral:misc_RNA from 1 species
AACAUCGCGCACCUGCGGGAACCUGCGGAGGGAUCAUUACAGAGUUGCAAAACUCCCUAAGCCAUUGUGAACGUUACCUAAACCGUUGCUUCGGCGGGCGGCCCGGGUCCUUCCCGGCGCCCCUCGGCCCUCGCGGGCGCCCGCCGGAGGUAAACCAAACUAUUGCAUUGUAUGGCCUCUCUGAGUCUUCUGUACUGAAUAAGUCAAAACUUUCAACAACGGAUCUCAGAUCGGAAGAGC